GAAGUGUGGACGCCAGUCUGCAUGGAGCCGACCUUGAAAUACCACCCUUUAAUGUUUGAUGUUCUAACGUUGACCCGUAAUCCGGGUUGCGGACAGUGUCUGGUGGGUAGUUUGACUGGGGCGGUCUCCUCCUAAAGAGUAACGGAGGAGCACGAAGGUUGGCUAAUCCUGGUCGGACAUCAGGAGGUUAGUGCAAUGGCAUAAGCCAGCUUGACUGCGAGCGUGACGGCGCGAGCAGGUGCGAAAGCAGGUCAUAGUGAUCCGGUGGUUCUGAAUGGAAGGGCCAUCGCUCAACGGAUAAAAGGUACUCCGGGGAUAACAGGCUGAUACCGCCCAAGAGUUCAUAUCGACGGCGGUGUUUGGCACCUCGAUGUCGGCUCAUCACAUCCUGGGGCUGAAGUAGGUCCCAAGGGUAUGGCUGUUCGCCAUUUAAAGUGGUACGCGAGCUGGGUUUAGAACGUCGUGAGACAGUUCGGUCCCUAUCUGCCGUGGGCGCUGGAGAACUGAGGGGGGCUGCUCCUAGUACGAGAGGACCGGAGUGGACGCAUCACUGGUGUUCGGGUUGUCAUGCCAAUGGCACUGCCCGGUAGCUAAAUGCGGAAGAGAUAAGUGCUGAAAGCAUCUAAGCACGAAACUUGCC
rnacentral:rRNA from 1 species